AUUGAACGCUGGCGGCAGGCCUAACACAUGCAAGUCGAGCGGAUGAAGGGAGCUUGCUCCUGGAUUCAGCGGAGGACGGGUGUGUAAUGCCUAGGAAUCUGCCUGGUAGUGGGGGAUAACGUCCGGAAACGGGCGCUAAUACCGCAUACGUCCUGAGGGAGAAAGUGGGGGAUCUUCGGACCCCACGCUAUCAGAUGAGCCUAGGUCGGAUUAGCUAGUUGGUGGGGUAAAGGCCUACCAAGGCGACGAUCCGUAACUGGUCUGAGAGGAUGAUCAGUCACACUGGAACUGAGACACGGUCCAGACUCCUACGGGAGGCAGCAGUGGGGAAUAUUGGACAAUGGGCGAAAGCCUGAUCCAGCCAUGCCGCGUGUGUGAAGAAGGUCUGCGGAUUGUAAAGCACUUUAAGUUGGGAGGAAGGGCAGUAAGUUAAUACCUUGCUGUUUUGACGUUACCAACAGAAUAAGCACCGGCUAACUUCGUG
rnacentral:rRNA from 1 species